rnacentral:rRNA from 1 species
UACGUAGGGGGCUAGCGUUGUCCGGAUUUAUUGGGCGUAAAGCGCGUGUAGGCGGCCGGAUAAGUCGAAUGUGAAAGCCCCCGGCUCAACUGGGGAGGGUCAUUCGAUACUGUUCGACUCGAAGGCAGGAGAGGGAAGUGGAAUUCCCGGUGUAGUGGUGAAAUGCGUAGAUAUCGGGAGGAACACCAGUGGCGAAGGCGACUUCCUGGCCUGUUCUUGACGCUGAGGCGCGAAAGCUAGGGGAGCAAACGGG